rnacentral:rRNA from 1 species
UACGGAGGGUGCAAACGUUGCUCGGAAUUACUGGGCGUAAAGCGCACGUAGGCGGUCUGCUGUGUCCGAUGUGAAAGCCCUCGGCUCAACCGAGGAAGUGCAUUGGAAACUGGCAGGCUCGAGUACGGAAGAGGGUCGCGGAAUUCCCGGUGUAGAGGUGAAAUUCGUAGAUAUCGGGAGGAACACCAGUGGCGAAGGCUGCGACCUUGGCCGAUACUGACGCUGAGGUGCGAAAGCGUGGGUAGCAAUCAGG